rnacentral:rRNA from 1 species
CGGCCGCGGGAUUCGAUUAGAGUUUGAUUAUGGCUCAGAACGAACGCUGGCGGCAGGCUUAACACAUGCAAGUCGAACGCCCCGCAAGGGGAGUGGCAGACGGGUGAGUAACACGUGGGAACGUACCUUUUGGUUCGGAAUAACUCAGGGAAACUUGAGCUAAUACCGGAUACGUCCGUAAGGAGAAAGAUUUAUCGCCGAAAGAUCGGCCCGCGUCAGAUUAGCUAGUUGGUGGGGUAAUGGCCUACCAAGGCGACGAUCUGUAGCUGGUCUGAGAGGAUGAUCAGCCACACUGGGACUGAGACACGGCCCAGACUCCUACGGGAGGCAGCAGUGGGGAAUAUUGGACAAUGGGCGAAAGCCUGAUCCAGCCAUGCCGCGUGAAUGAUGAAGGCCUUAGGGUUGUAAAGUUCUUUCAACGGUGAAGAUAAUGACGGUAACCGUAGAAGAAGCCCCGGCUAACUUCGUGCCAGCAGCCGCGGUAAUACGAAGGGGGCUAGCGUUGUUCGGAAUUACUGGGCGUAAAGCGCACGUAGGCGGACUUUUAAGUCAGAGGUGAAAUCCCGGGGCUCAACCCCGGAACUGCCUUUGAUACUGGGAGUCUAGAGUAUGGUAGAGGUGAGUGGAAUACCGAGUGUAGAGGUGGAAUUCGUAGAUAUUCGGUAGAACACCAGUGGCGAAGGCGGCUCACUGGACNAUUACUGACGCUGAGGUGCGAAAGCGU